AUGAACGCUGGCGGCGUGCCUAAUACAUGCAAGUCGAGCGAACGGACGAGAAGCUUGCUUCUCUGAUGUUAGCGGCGGACGGGUGAGUAACACGUGGAUAACCUACCUAUAAGACUGGGAUAACUUCGGGAAACCGGAGCUAAUACCGGAUAAUAUUUUGAACCGCAUGGUUCAAAAGUGAAAGACGGUCUUGCUGUCACUUAUAGAUGGAUCCGCGCUGCAUUAGUUAGUUGGUAAGGUAACGGCUUACCAAGGCAACGAUGCAUAGCCGACCUGAGAGGGUGAUCGGCCACACUGGAACUGAGACACGGUCCAGACUCCUACGGGAGGCAGCAGUAGGGAAUCUUCCGCAAUGGGCGAAAGCCUGACGGAGCAACGCCGCGUGAGUGAUGAAGGUCUUCGGAUCGUAAAACUCUGUUAUUAGGGAAGAACAUAUGUGUAAGUAACUGUGCACAUCUUGACGGUACCUAAUCAGAAAGCCACGGCUAACUACGUG
rnacentral:rRNA from 1 species